rnacentral:rRNA from 1 species
AUUGAACGCUGGCGGCAGGCCUAACACAUGCAAGUCGAGCGAGCGGCGGACGGGUGAGUAAUGUAUGGGGACUGCCCGAUAGAGGGGGAUAACUACUGGAAACGGUGGCUAAUACCGCAUACUAUCGGAUAACCCAUAUGGGGUUAGCUAGUAGGUGGGGUAAAGGCUCACCUAGGCGACGAGUUCUAGCUGGUCCGAGAGGAGGAUAAGCCACACUGUGACUGAGACACGGCCCAGACUCCUACGGAGGCAGCAGUGGGUAAUAUGGCACAAUGGGCGCAAGCCGGAUGCAGCCAUGCCGCGUGUAUGAAGAAGGCCUUAGGGUUGUAAAGUACUUUCAGCGGGGAGGCGUUACCCGCAGAAGAAGCGCCGGCUAACUACGUGCCAGCAGCCGCGGUAAUUC